rnacentral:sRNA from 1 species
UUUUAGCCCUGAUGGUAGCGGCAUCCUUUUUAUUUUUUCUUUAAAAAGAAAAAGAUACAGCGAACAGCAGGAAAUAGC